rnacentral:rRNA from 1 species
AUACAGAGGGUGCGAGCGUUAAUCGGAAUUACUGGGCGUAAAGCGCGCGUAGGCGGCUACUUAAGUCAGAUGUGAAAUCCCCGGGCUCAACCUGGGAACUGCAUCUGAUACUGGGUAGCUAGAGUUUUGGAGAGGGAAGUAGAAUUUCAGGUGUAGCGGUGGAAUGCAUAGAGAUCUGAAGGAAUACCAGUGGCGAAGGCGACUUCCUGGUCAAAAACUGACGCUGAGGUGCGAAAGCGUGGGUAGCAAACGGGAUUAGAAACCCCAGUAGUCC